UUGACCCUACGUAACUGUAAGGUGGGGAGGCAGGAGGUCUGAUUUAUUGGUGAGUCCCCAGGGCCCAGAAGAGGGCAAAACACAAAGUUACAUGCUUGGUAACUGUAGAAGAAUGAAUGAAUGAACUCACGAAUCAGCUUCAAGUAAAGCAGCAGUUAUUUCUGUGGGGUAUUCUUGAGGACGGUGGUAAAACGCGAAAUAUCUCACAAAGGUGGACAAUGAAAUCUCGAUCUGUGAUUAAAGGCGGCAGCAGCCAGACAAGAAUCUUCUUGGAGGAACAAUGAAGGAAGAAAAAAAACAAAAUGAAACAAAGGAGAGGGAUAAUGAACACAGCUCUCAUCAGCCUUGACUCCUAUUACCUUGCGGUUGGUGUCCAUGGAUGCAGGUGCAGGACUGGUUCAUGUGGGCUGCGAUACAUAGUGGUGCCCUCUUCAGCUGCCUAUAACCCAGCCUGAAGAAGACACUGCCCAUCAGAGGAAUGCCAUUAUCUGUCCUUAAGUGUCAACAAGAUUUCCCAAGCUCCAGGUACCAGAAGAAAGCUGGGAAAGGUCAGGUAAGCCUUCCUCCUGUCCUGUUCUCUCAGACCCUUGCCUUGUCACCUGGUUCAGGAGUCUCCAUCCAGGCCCAGUGAAGUCCUUCUUGGGCAGUUCUAUCAGCUUCUGAUCUCAAAAUUAAUCCAAAGGACAAGUGAGGGUCCUUCCUUUCUUUAUCCUGCUUCAACUAGCAUUUUUCAUGCCCUCUUCUCUCCCCUUUAGUAACAGCAACAGACAGAGGAACAUUGUUUUAGGAGCCAGUAGCAGAAUUCAUCUGGUAAAGACUUGUUUUUUGUGUACCAAAACAUUUGGAUAAGCCACUUUGGCUGUAUCAAGAUGGUCUGUAGGAGAUAGGCUGAAUGAGACAAGAAAGUUUAUAAAUUGAGAAGAAUUUUUGAGU